AGGGGGGACGGAGAAGGCUAUGUUGGCCGGGCGACGGUUGUCCCGGUUUAAGCGUGUAGGUAUGUGUUCCAGGUAAAUCCGGUUCACUUUAACACUGAGGCGUGACGACGAGGCACUACGGUGCUGAAGCAACAAAUGCCCUGCUUCCAGGAAAAGCCUCUAAGCAUCAGGUAACAUCAAAUCGUACCCCAAACCGACACAGGUGGUCAGGUAGAGAAUACCAAGGCGCUUGAGAGAACUCGGGUGAAGGAACUAGGCAAAAUGGUGCCGUAACUUCGGGAGAAGGCACGCUGACACGUAGGUGAAGUGAUUUACUCACGGAGCUGAAGUCAGCCGAAGAUACCAGCUGGCUGCAACUGUUUAUUAAAAACACAGCACUGUGCAAACACGAAAGUGGACGUAUACGGUGUGACGCCUGCCCGGUGCCGGAAGGUUAAUUGAUGGGGUCAGCGCAAGCGAAGCUCCUGAUCGAAGCCCCGGUAAACGGCGGCCGUAACUAUAACGGUCCUAAGGUAGCGAAAUUCCUUGUCGGGUAAGUUCCGACCUGCACGAAUGGCGUAAUGAUGGCCAGGCUGUCUCCACCCGAGACUCAGUGAAAUUGAACUCGCUGUGAAGAUGCAGUGUACCCGCGGCAAGACGGAAAGACCCCGUGAACCUUUACUAUAGCUUGACACUGAACAUUGAGCCUUGAUGUGUAGGAUAGGUGGGAGGCUUUGAAGUGUGGACGCCAGUCUGCAUGGAGCCGACCUUGAAAUACCACCCUUUAAUGUUUGAUGUUCUAACGUGGACCCGUGAUCCGGGUUGCGGACAGUGUCUGGUGGGUAGUUUGACUGGGGCGGUCUCCUCCUAAAGAGUAACGGAGGAGCACGAAGGUUGGCUAAUCCUGGUCGGACAUCAGGAGGUUAGUGCAAUGGCAUAAGCCAGCUUGACUGCGAGCGUGACGGCGCGAGCAGGUGCGAAAGCAGGUCAUAGUGAUCCGGUGGUUCUGAAUGGAAGGGCCAUCGCUCAACGGAUAAAAGGUACUCCGGGGAUAACAGGCUGAUACCGCCCAAGAGUUCAUAUCGACGGCGGUGUUUGGCACCUCGAUGUCGGCUCAUCACAUCCUGGGGCUGAAGUAGGUCCCAAGGGUAUGGCUGUUCGCCAUUUAAAGUGGUACGCGAGCUGGGUUUAGAACGUCGUGAGACAGUUCGGUCCCUAUCUGCCGUGGGCGCUGGAGAACUGAGGGGGGCUGCUCCUAGUACGAGAGGACCGGAGUGGACGCAUCACUGGUGUUCGGGUUGUCAUGCCAAUGGCACUGCCCGGUAGCUAAAUGCGGAAGAGAUAAGUGCUGAAAGCAUCUAAGCACGAAACUUGCCCCGAGAUGAGUUCUCCCUGAGACUUUAGGUCUCCUGAAGGAACGUUGAAGACGACGACGUUGAUAGGCCGGGUGUGUAAGCGCAGCGAUGCGUUGAGCUAACCGGUACUAAUGAACCGUGAGGCUUAACCUUACAACGCCGAAG
rnacentral:rRNA from 1 species